GAGACACUUACCGAGAAACACGGCCAGAACCCUGUCACACGACGCCUGCAGCCUGGAUCUGCCUCUGCAUUUUUCAGCUGUCCCCAGAGCCAUGAACUCCUUACCUGCUGCCUGGAGAACGCUGAUCGCUCUUCUCACCUCCAUCCAAACAACCCCUGAGACAGCCUCCUGGUCACCGUCUCUCCUCAUUUGAUCCUUGACUCAACCGCAUGAGGCGGGUGAGGCAGGUGUGUGUCUGCAUUUUACAACUGGAGAAGCAGGUCAGAGAGCUUAAGUGACUCACCCAAGGUUUCCUAGCUAUCAAGUAGUGGAGUCUGAACCUGAACCCAGACCUGCUGCCUCCAAAGCCCAUGUGCUUCCACCACCCCAGGUCUCUGAAAUGGGUGGUCUCGGGGGUGGGGAGCAGUAGCUAAACCUGCAUGAGUUAGCUCCAGGGGUGGACGACCGAGGCCCUGAAUGCCUGCCCCCAUCUUCACCAGGACAAGGACGGUGACAGAGAACAGCAGCGGCAGGCUCACCUCACCCUUCUAACCCGCUGCCCACUGUCUGUCAGGUCCCUGGCAUAGAGCAACGCCCCCUGCACCAAAUGCGUGCCACCCCAGUGCAGAGUGUGACGCUGCGUGAGUCACAAGCAAGGCCCCGCUGGUGCAGCAGGUUCAGAGGACGGGGCCAGGCGGCUGACGAUCCUCCCUCCUACUUCCCGGGCACAUCCAAGGAGACCAGGCGGGCGGGCAGAGUGCUCAUCGCCAGCCCAGCUUAGUGGGAAGCUUUCUCUGCCCCCUGCAGAAACACAGAUGUGGGAAAACAACAACAAUGACAAUAAUGCAUUUAAAAAAAUAAACUUUCACUGAGUUCCCAUA